rnacentral:misc_RNA from 1 species
UCCGAGUUGACUCCCUUGCGGGUCAGCCCCAGUUUCUUGGGACUUACCAUCCGUAGUUCAAGCCCGGGUAAGGUUCUUCGCGUUGCGUCGAAUUAAACCACAUGUUCCACCGCUUGUGCGGGCCCCCGUCAAUUCCUUUGAGUUUCAGCCUUGCGGCCGUACUCCCCAGGCGGGGCACUUACUGCGUUAGCGACGGCACCGGGAGGGUCGCUCCCCCCGACGCCUAGUGCCCAUCGUUUACGGCGUGGACUAC